GGGCCCGUAGCUCAGUUGGGAGAGCGCUAGAAUCGCACUCUAGAGGCCAGGAGUUCGAGCCUCCUCGGGUCCACCA
rnacentral:tRNA from 1 species